rnacentral:rRNA from 1 species
GACGAACCGUGCGAACGUUGUUCGGAAUCACUGGGCUUAAAGGGCGCGUAGGCGGAUCUCCAAGUCGGUGGUGAAAUCGUUCGGCUCAACCGGACAAGUGCCGCCGAUACUGGGGGUCUCGAGGGAGGUAGGGGUCGGGGGAACUGGUGGUGGAGCGGUGAAAUGCGUAGAUAUCACUAGGAACGCCGGUGGCGAAAGCGCCCGACUGGACCUCUUCUGACGCUGAGGCGCGAAAGCCAGGGGAGCGAACGGG